rnacentral:rRNA from 1 species
GAUCAUGGCUCAGGAUGAACGCUAGCUACAGGCUUAACACAUGCAAGUCGAGGGGCAGCAUUCCAGUUUGCUUGCAAACUGGAGAUGGCGACCGGCGCACGGGUGAGUAACACGUAUCCAACCUGCCGAUAACUCGGGGAUAGCCUUUCGAAAGAAAGAUUAAUACCCGAUGGCAUAAUAGAACCGCAUGGUUUGAUUAUUAAAGAAUUUCGGUUAUCGAUGGGGAUGCGUUCCAUUAGGCGG